rnacentral:rRNA from 1 species
GGGCCCGCACAAGCGGUGGAGCAUGUGGUUUAAUUCGAAGCAACGCGAAGAACCUUACCAAGGCUUGACAUCCCGAUGACCGGUAUAGAGAUAUACCUUUUCUUCGGAACAUCGGUGACAGGUGGUGCAUGGUUGUCGUCAGCUCGUGUCGUGAGAUGUUGGGUUAAGUCCCGCAACGAGCGCAACCCUUAUCGUUAGUAGCCAGCGCGUUAUGGUGGGCACACUAGCGAGACUGCCGUGGAUAACACGGAGGAAGGUGGGGACGACGUCAAAUCAUCAUGCCCCUUAUGUCUUGGGCUACACACGUGCUACAAUGGCGGCUACAAAGAGAAGCGAGAUCGUGAGAUGGAGCAAACCUCAAAAAGGUCGUCACAGUUCGGAUUGUAGUCUGCAACUCGACUACAUGAAGCUGGAAUCGCUAGUAAUCGCGAAUCAGCAUGUCG